rnacentral:rRNA from 1 species
GACGAACGCUGGCGGCGUGCUUAAUACAUGCAAGUCGAACGGAAAGGCCCUGCUUUUGUGGGGCGCUCGAGUGGCGAACGGGUGAGUAACACGUGUGUAACCCGCCCUUGACUUUGGGAUAACUUCAGGAAACUGCGGCUAAUACCGGAUAGGAGCUCCUGCUGCAUGGUGGGGGUUGGAAAGUUUCGGCGGUUGGGGAUGGACUCGCGGCUUAUCAGCUUGUUAGUGAGGUAGUGGCUUACCAAGGCUUUGACGGGUAGCCGGCCUGAGGGGGUGACCGGCCACAAUGGGACUAAGGGACGGACCAGUAUCGUACGGGAGGCAGCGGUCGAAAAUAUUACGCAGUGAGCGGGAGCGUGAUACGGCAACGCCGGGUGCGGAAUGACGGCCUUCGGGUUGUGAACCACUUUCGCAUGUAACGAAGCGUGAGUGACGGUAAUGAAUAAGAAAGCACCGGCUAACUACGUG